AUUGAACGCUGGCGGCAUGCCUUACACAUGCAAGUCGAACGGCAGCACGGGAGCAAUCCUGGUGGCGAGUGGCGAACGGGUGAGUAAUAUAUCGGAACGUGCCCGGUCGUGGGGAUAACGUAGCGAAAGCUACGCUAAUACCGCAUACGAUCUACGGAUGAAAGCGGGGGAUCGCAAGACCUCGCGCGAUUGGAGCGGCCGAUAUCAGAUUAGGUAGUUGGUGAGGUAAAGGCUCACCAAGCCGACGAUCUGUAGCUGGUCUGAGAGGACGACCAGCCACACUGGGACUGAGACACGGCCCAGACUCCUACGGGAGGCAGCAGUGAGGAAUAUUGGAC
rnacentral:rRNA from 1 species